rnacentral:sRNA from 1 species
UCACCUUCCUUAGGUUUUAAAAACAAUCGAUCUUCGAGAUCACCAAGGGUAUAGGAUUCUUUACUAGCCCAAAAGUAUGGUUCUUUUACAGGAUCUUUCCCCUUUCGUCGAAGUUCCCUAUGAACAGGUUCACAUUGAAUUCCUGUAUGAACAAAAGACAGUGUCGAGACUAUUAUUACAGGUUUUAUAGUAAAUACUUUAAAAACGAUUGUAAAUCAUGUUUAACACUUUUAAAAGCUUUUAAAAUCCCUUAUAAAUCAUUCAAUGCCACUUACUUAUGCUUUAAAAACGAUUGUAAACCAUGCAGACACUUUUAAAAUCCCUUGUAAAUCAUUAUAUGACACUUACUUAUGCUUUAAAAACGAUUGUAAAUCAUGUUUAACCCUUCUAAAAGCUUUUAAAAUCCCUUGUAAAUCAUUCUAUUCAACUUACUUAUGCUUAAAAAAUGAUUGUAAAUCAUGUUUAACCCUUAGAAAAGGUUUUAAAAUCUCUUGUAAAUAUUCUAUGCCACUUACUUAUGUUUUAAAAUCGAUUGUAAACUAUGCAAACACUUCUAAAAUCCCUUGUAAAUCGUUUUACGACACUUACUUAUGCUUUUAAAAUCCCUUGUAAACGUGUUUAACACUUCUUUAAGCUUUUAAAAUCCCUUGUAAAUUAUUCUAUGCUAGUUACUUAUGCCUAAAAACGGUUGUAAACCAUGCAUACCCUUUUUAAAAUCCCUUGUAAAUCAUUAUCUGCCACUAACUUAUGCUUCUUAAACGAUUGUUAAUGAAGUAAACCCCUUUUAAAAGCUUUUAAAAUCUCUUGUAAAUUAUCUGUGACACUUAUGUUUUAAAAACGAUUGUAAACUACGCAAACAGUUAUGCAAAUGCCUUGCAAAUGCCUUGUAAAUCAUUCUACGACAGUUAAUUAAGCUUUAAAAACGAUUGUAAAACUUUAUUACCUGUUGUGAGAUAGAACUCUCUCAAGGAGAAACGGAUAGGUUGAGAAUCAACUCUAAACCAAAGAGUUGAUCCUUUUGUUUUUACUCUCUGCUUCAUGAGAUAGUG